UUUAAGUUAGUAGCAUUUUUGUAAAUAGUAGGAACUUUGAUACUAUAAAUAGUUGUUUCUUGUUUUGGAAACGACCAUAUGGAAGUUUCCUGAAAUAGAAUCCCCAAAACCUAGAAAAAGGCAUAUUGGCCCCGAAUCUUCUCGGCCUUGCCGGCGUUUAUUCCGGUCACAUCAUGCCAUGAUACCGAUUUCAUCUUAACCGUGUCAACCUCCUCUUCCUAACAUGGUGGCAGCGUGCAACAAAUCUAGUGGUGGAAGGCGCAAAAAGCAGAAAACUCUCUGAAUGACCAAUUUUCUUAACCUAGUUGAACUUCCAGUUCCGGCCCCUAUUUCAGAUGAAAUUCCUUGGGUUUGAAGCCCUCCCGACGCUUAACAAUCCCUCCAAGUUGUGUAGCUCAAUCGAUCGGAGGUGGACAAAUCAACCAUUUAAAGUUUGGGGCCGUGACCAGUUACCCAUUUUUAGCCCAAUAUUUCCCCAAUCACUCCACCUUCAACUGUUUGUGCCCACUUACCCAAUUCAACAGUGUCAUGACUCAUCUAGGCUCCAGAAAAAAAAUGAUAUUACAGUAGUGCCACUACACUAAAAACGCACGACUCGUCAGUUAUCUGUCUCUAUCAAACGUCAAACCGAUUCAAACCUCUUCCUCCCUCCAUACCCGAUUCUCUCUCCCUCUACCUCACUCGCUCUUUCUCUCACUCUCUCACACGUCGAUACUCACCGUUCUACGGCGACGACAAUUCAAGGUCCGGCAACAAUUUCCCUUUCCCUUUUUCGGCUUCGAAGAUAUCGAAACAGAAUGAGUAGACCGAAAUUCACCCUAAUGAGUGACUCGGAAGAAGAUGACCAGAGUUCAGACAGUUUGGAUAACUGUAGUCGGUCAACAUUUAACCAGCCCCUGCAAAAAAAAUUUGACGAAAUCAGGAAGAGGAAGUGACAACAGGCAGAUGAGAUUUCCGACCAAGAAUCUGCCGAAGAAGAAGUCAAUGAAGAUACAGAACAAUCAAUUGAAGAAGAAUCAGAAUCAGAAGGCGAACAUACAACGAAGAGGUUUGUCAUCAAAACAAAACAACAGCAAAAAAGGAAAACAGUUCAAGAGGAAGAGGAUUCAGAAGAAGAAGAACUAAAGAGGAAGAAAGCCAAGAAGCCUAAAAAAGGGUCAAUUAAGAAGGAAGUGUUGAAAAAAGAGACCCAAAAAUCGAAGAUAGAGUGGAAGCAGCAGAAGUGCACGCUCAGUUCCUUCUGGAGAAUGGUUGACGCACACAAGGAGAGAAUACCGGACGAAACAAAGGAGAUAUUGAGGGGUAUAGACUUUGGUGAAAUGAUCGAGCCAUUCUAGCAAGACAAGAUAACCGAGAUCCAGCUCCACAAGCAUGAAGCGGACUUGGAGAUAACCGAGAUCCAGCUCCACACAGACAACAAAUGGAAGUUUGGGGAUGUUGUUAUGGAAAUAACAGAGGAGGAUGUCACGGCGUUAUUUCAGCUUCCGGCUUCAGGACAAGUGUUCAAUGUGAACAGAAGGGUGGUGAGGGAAGAGAUGGAAGACUCCCCAAUAUUUGGCAGCCCUUUAAAGAUGCAGGUUGUCCUCAGAACAAAGGUGGAAUCGAAGCUGGUAACUGAGUUGACAAAGCCGGCCAAUCAGAAAGAUGCCAGGAAGAUAGCAGCGCUAACGAUCACAUAUCUAUUCAGCACUUUCUUCUUCAAUCGAACCGGAGCUCAGAUUACAUGGGAUAUGGUCGCUGUAUGUGAACGGAUUGAGACCAUAAACUUGUACAACUAGCCAAGACUGAUUCUGAACUUCUUGAUGGAAAGGCUACAAAAGUAUAGGAGGAACAACCCAUCUACAAUGAAUGGAUGCCUCUUCUCAUCUACUACUGGUUCCUUGAGAAGACCAAGGCAAAGACCUGGAUACCUGGAAAGCAGAAUGAAACUCCACGAUUCAUCCGAUGGUCGAUAAAGGAAAUAUUUAGCCUGGAGUAGCUGUACAGGAAUGAGAACUUAGCCGUGGAUCUGAUAAAAGAUGGACCGUGGUCUGCGAAAAUUGAACUGGAAGACCUCGAGCUGGGAGAUGAGGUGCAGGACACACCAAGCUUUGACAACUAGUGCCCCAGGCAAGCCAAGCGGAAGAGGAACAAAAUGAAAGGCUGACAAGGAAUAUGAAAGAACUAAUCAGGGGGAUGGAGGCAGCCAUCGGUGAGACAAAGCCCACCAAAGAAAUGGAGGCAAAGCUAGGAAGGCUUGCCAAAGCAAACGAGAAAAUGAAUGCAUAGAACAAAGAUCUAUGGGCCAAGCUAAAGGUUGCCGAUGAGAGGAUUAAAGUUCUGGAGAAUGAAAAGAGGGCAAAAAAUAACCUCAUCAGGGCGUUGUACAUCAGGCUUGGAAAGGAGAGGUCCCCCUACAACAAAGACAGCUUGAGAUAGUUCCUUUCACGCAGAAAGUGGCCCCCCAGGAUGAAGUUGAGGAUGAAAAUCCAAACUUUGGACCAAGCAUCGGAGAGGAAACCCAUUAUGCAGCUAGUGUGGGAAAGUCGACAGGCACGGUGACAUCAAUGUUUCCCAUUGCAAUGGAAUUACCUGAACAACAAGAUGAAAGCCGUUUACAACCGGAGCAACCAGAACGUGGGAAUCAAGAGGAACAUGAACAGGUCGAUAACAUAAUAAGGAUGAUUGCUGAGAAAGAAGUGAUGGCAGCAGUUAGAAAGGAAAAACAGAAAGAAGGGACCCAUGCUGAACAGUAAAAACAGAAGAAAACUCCCGAGAUACAUUCUAUAGAGAAGAACUUGAAGACAGACCGGAGGGUUGCCAAGAAGUCUAGAGAAGAGGAGUGGGAGUAUGACACUCCUGAAGAAACAAAAAUGAGGAAGAGAGCUGCACCUAAGAAAGCUGGAAUCAUGCCGCAAGCCCAGAGAAAAAUGGAGAACAAGAUCAAGAUCAAGGGUGUCAACGGCGAUAAGCAAACAUGGAGGACACUAGACCCAACAGUGGCAAGGCACUAUCGAGACUUCUUCAAUGUUGCUGUGAAAGACACAACCGAGUACUGGAUCAACAUCAAUCUUCUACACCGGAUCACCAAGCACGACCUCAGAGUAAUCAUCCAAGAGGGGGAUGUCAAAACUGAUGUGAUUAGAGUUUAUAUUGACUUGUUGAAGUCUGAUACCGUAAAGCGAAAUGCGCAAGUGGGAUUUCUGACUGUAGAUGCUGCAUACUAUGCUCUAAAGUAUGAACAAAACAAAGAAAAAGAUGAGGAUACUAGACCGUUUGAGUGUGGUGUUGAAACGAUGUUAUAUGAACCGCUGUGGUCAAUCUUCCGUUUCAAAAAUGUCCUAGUACCAAUUCACCACAGCACAAGCAUGCACUACACUUUGCUGGUAGUCGACAAUGAAAAAAGGAGCUUCACUCAUAUGAAUUAAUGAGGCCAGCAAUCGAUGAAUUCACCAAUGAGGAGAAGUACCACCUGAAUGCAGCAAGAGUGACAAAGCACAUCAAGAAGUUCAUACAUGCUGUGAACUUGACUAGGAUGAGAAUCCCGGGGGACAGCCAAGAUCUAGAGGUCACACGAGAAAAAUGCAAAGGCGAAGAUGACAAGGAAAACCUAAUUAUUGUUUAAGAAGGAAUGAUCGAGGAGGGAAAACAAACCAGGAACUGGAUUUUGCAUAAUAACGUUGUGGAGACAGACUAUGAACUCUAUGAAGACUUUGAGUGUCCGCAACAGAACACAACAUCUGUUGAUUGCGGACCAUUUAUGCUCCAUUUCAUGGAAUGCAUAGUAAAUGGCGAAGAUCCUACCAAGGAAGGCGGGGACAACAUGAGGAAAAGAAUGCCUGAGAGGUUCAUGCACCUUUUAUUGGGCAGAAAGUGAGGAGCGACAUUAGAGAUAACAUAUGUAGAAAUUUGGUUUCAGUAUUUGAAGAUUAGGGAUUGUAAAGUUCUCAUACUAUCCUUAAUUUCAAACUAUGGUGGA